CCCUGCAGCAAGUUCCCCCGUGCAGCAGGUCCCCCUGCAGCAGAUCCCCCCUGCAGCAAGUUCCCCCUGCAGCAGGUGCCCCCGUGCAGCAGGUCCCCCCUGCAGCAAGUUCCCCCCUGGAGCAGGUCCCCCUGCAGCAAGUUCCCCUGGACUGGUCCCCCUGCAGCAAGUUCCCCCCUGCAGCAAGUUCCCCCCUGUAGCAGGUCCCCCCUGUGCUGGCUCCUGGCCAGGUCUUGCUCUGGGUGCCCCGUGCCCUCAGGGUAGGGAACCUGUGAUCUACCCAGCAGUGUAAAAUCGCUCCUUGGACCAGCGACCCAAAAGGGGCACCCGGGGAGCGCUGGGGGCAUGGCCCAGGGACGGCUGCCCCUGAGGGCAGGGCUCCAUGUGCCCAUCUGCCCAGGGGACGAACUGGACCUGCGGCUGGUUCGCACCAAGGGGGGUGUGGACUCAGCCCUGGAGUACGCCAAGACCUGGAGCCGCUACGCCAAGGAUCUGCUGGCCUGGACGGAGAAGAGGGCCAGCCACGGUGAGAGCCCCCCCACGCACAGGGCCCAGCUCCCACCCCACCCCCACCCCCAGCCAGACAAGAACCCCGUCUGUGUCUCCCCAGAGCUGGAGUUUGCCAAGAGUGUCAUGAAGAUGGCCGAGGCCGGCAAGGUGUCCAUACAGCAGCAGGUAGCCCAGCCCAGCCCCAGCGCCCAGCCCCCCGCGCCCCCUGAGCCCCCAGGUCCUCAGUCGCGCCCCCCACCCGCAGAGCCACAUGCCGAUGCCGCUGCAGUACGUCUACACCCUGUUUCUGGAACACGACCUCAGCCUGGGGACCCUGGCCCUGGACACCGUGGCCCAGCAGAGGAAGGACUAUUACCAGCCCCUGGCGGCCAAACGGACUGAGAUCGAGAAGUGGCGGAAGGAGUUCAAGGAUCAGUGGGUGAAGGAACAGAAGCGGAUGGUGAGCGCCCCCGGGCGCGUAGGGGUCUGUCCCUGGCGCACCGGCCACUGACGUCCCGCCCGCCCCCAGAACGAGGCGGUGCAGGCGCUGCGGCGCGCCCAGCUCCAGUACGUGCAGCGCAGCGAGGACCUGCAGGCGCGCUCCCAGGGCUCCCCCGAGGACCCGGCCCCGCAGGCCUCGCCGGGGCCCAGCAAGCAGCAGGAGCGGCGGCGGCGUUCGCGAGAGGAGGCCCACGCCAAGGUGCCCCCCCGGCCGCGCGGUACCCCCGGGCCCGCACACCCCGGCCCCGCGCCGCCCCCAGGAGCGCAUACCCC
rnacentral:lncRNA from 1 species